UAUAUAUAUAUAUAUAUAUAUAUAUAUAUAUAUAGUUGAGCUAGAAUACUAUCGGUAGCAAACGGACUCCGUUGCCACCCAUUUGUUUUUAAUGAUGGGGCCUCCAAAUCGACGAUCGGCACCGUUAAAUAUGAUCUAUACCACUUGAAGUAUCUAGAAAUCAAAUUUUAUGCUUUUCCGAUAUUGUUCUCUUGUCCAUCAAGUGGGCGUAAAAAUGAACGACUAAAAAUGAAUAUUCUCUAAAAAAUGAUGAUAGAAAUUUUAUAAUCAUAAUCGAGAGUAUAGAUCUUGUUCUAAAUAGUUUAAAGAAUUUUCUAACUAAAAUUCAAUUGAUUUGAAUAGCUUUACACCGUUAAACGUGAAACACCUCAUAUCUACCACUAAAAUUACAAAGUUUGAAAUCUUUUGAUCAUUAGGUCAAUGAUAUCGAAAAGAUUUGAAAUUUGAUUUCUAGAUAGUUCAAGUGGUAUAGAUUAUGUUCAACGCUACCGAUUGUCGAUUUGGAGGUUCUAUCAUCGAAAACAAAUGGAUGACAACAGAGCCCGUUUGCUACUAAUAGUAUACUAGCUCAACUAUAUAUAUAUAUA
rnacentral:lncRNA from 1 species